GUGAAGAUUUGGGCAGGCCAUACGGACGCCAAAAAGUGUCCCUGGCCGCCUACACCCACUAUACAUCCAUAAACCCGUGUGCACUGUCUUGGAGAAAGGCUUCAGAGAAGUUUUUUGUGGCCUCUCUUGGGGUCUUUCUUCGCUACAAACUCGAAUGGUUAGUAUGAACG
rnacentral:misc_RNA from 1 species